rnacentral:rRNA from 1 species
AGGACGAACGCUGGCGGUGCGCCUAACACAUGCAAGUCGAACGGUGAACCGGGCUUCGGCCCGGGGAUCAGUGGCGAACGGGUGCGUAACACGUGGGCAACCUGCCCCCGACCCUGGGAUGACCCCCGGGAAACCGGAGCUAAUACCGGAUACUCUCCUCCGACCACAUGGUCAGAAGAGGAAAGGUCCGCCGGUCGGGGAUGGGCCCGCGGCCUAUCAGCUUGUUGGUGGGUAACGCCUACCAAGGCGACGACGGGUAGCUGGUCUGAGAGGACGACCAGCCACACUGGGACUGAGACACGGCCCAGACUCCUACGGGAGGCAGCAGUGGGGAAUCUUGCGCAAUGGGCGAAAGCCUGACGCAGCGACACCGCGUGGGGGAUGAAGGCCUUUCAGGUCGUAAACCCUUUCGGCAGGGACGAAGCGAUCUCGUGACGGUACCUGCAGAAGAAGCCUCGGCUAACUACGUGCCAGCAGCCGAC